AGUUAACCAGGCAAUCGCCUAAUUCUUUGAUUUAGGAGGAAAGUCCGGGCUCUAACGGGGACGAUGCCAGGUAAUACCUGGAAGGCGCGAGCCUAUGGAAAGUGCAACAGAAAAUAUACCGCUUCUUAAUGAGGUAAGGGUGAAAAGGUGUGGUAAGAGCGCACCGCAUAAAUGGUAACAUUUAUGGCAAUGCAAACCCCAUCGAGAGCAAGACCAAAUAGAGGAGCUAUGAUUUCCCGUGAUCGCUCCAGGGUGGGUUGCUAGAGGUGUCUGGUGACAGAUAUCCCAGAUGAAUGAUUGCCCAAGACAGAACCCGGCUUAUCGGUUAACUCCU
rnacentral:RNase_P_RNA from 1 species